AAUCAACGCUGGCGGCGUGCCUAACACAUGCAAGUCGCGCGCGAAAGGGGGGCAACUCCCGAGUAAAGCGGCGAACGGGUGAGUAACACGUGGGUAAUCUACCUUCGAGUGGGGAACAACACCGGGAAACUGGUGCUAAUUCCGCAUGACAUCGUCGGGGCUUCGGUUCUGACGCUCAAAGCUGGGGAUCGCAAGACCUAGCGCUUGAAGAUGAGCCCGCGUCCGAUUAGCUAGNGGCGGGUAAUGGCCCACCAAGGCUUCGAUCGGUAGCCGGCCUGAGAGGGCGGACGGCCACACUGGAACUGAGACACGGCCCAGACUCCUACGGGAGGCAGCAGUGGGGAAUUUUUCGCAAUGGGGGCAACCCUGACGAAGCAACGCCGCGU
rnacentral:rRNA from 1 species